rnacentral:rRNA from 1 species
CCCUUAGAUGUUCUGGGCCGCACGCGCGCUACACUGAUGCAUUCAACGAGCCUAUCCUUGACCGACAGGUCCGGGUAAUCUUUGAAUCUGCAUCGUGACGGGGAUAGAUUAUUGCAAUUAUUAAUCUUCAACGAGGAAUGCCUAGUAGGCGCAAGUCAUCAGCUUGCGUUGAUCACGUCCCUGCCCUUUGUACACACCGCCCGUCGCUCCUACCGAUUGAGCAUCCCGGUGAAGACUCAGGAGAUAUGUACGUGGCUGGUCUCCAGCUGCGUUGCGUGCCGAAUUUGUCUAAACCUUGAUGCUUAGAGGAAGGAGAAGUCGUAACA